UCGACUUGUCUCCGUCUCUCUGUCUCCGGCCCUGUCUGUGUUAAUCCCCGUUCCUUCUCCAGGAAACUGCCCCGAAGAUCCGGAUUGACCCAUGGGCCGGGUGAAGUGGCGCCCAUCAUCGGGCUCCUGGUAUGAAGGGCUCAACGAGGGAGCUGUCCUGAGACACGCACAUAAAAGUGAAACUAAAAGUUUUGUGACCAACGCUACGUGGGAACCUGCCACACCGCUAGCAUCAUGAAAAUGCCAAACUGAUGGAUUACGUGGUGCCUUCUCGAGAUCCUCCUUGGACCACCCUUGACCAAUGGUGGAUUUGGACCUCCCGUCACAAAUGGCCUCUAACCCCUUCUCCACGCUCUGAGGGCUCUUUCCCUACCUAGUGCCCCUCCUGGGGCCCCUAGCUGCCUUGUGGAUUCUCCUCUCUGUGGUCCUUGUAUUUUUCAGAGGAUUAUGGCGCUCAUUAAUAACCGGAUAGAGGUGUUUAUGACAAAGCCCAUUCAGGUACACUAUCACCAGCUGGCGAUGGCAAAUUAACAAACCUACCAGGAAAGAAUUCCCACGAGUGGCCCAUAUGACGAUGUGGCCUAACCACCCUGAGAUAAUGGACAGGCAGCCAGAGACAGGCAACUAGGACAUACAUGCUACAAUACCGGCCACCUAAGACAGGCACAGGACCAACUGCUGUCCUGCAAGCCCAUGACGGGUAAGGCUCGGUUGGGUUCAUGUAAUGAGGUCCUUGACCUAAGACAGGCGCUGUCCUCACAGAGCCUGCCAUACUCCUGAUUAAAAUAUAUAUAUAUAUAUAUAUAUAUAUAUAUAUAUAUAUAUAUAUAUAAAAGGGAGGAGAUGUAGGGAGCAGUGCGACCCGCCUCUCCCUCCUAUGUGCACAUAAUGUGCCUGCCUACAUUAACCAUAAUCCUCUCUACUUACAUCACAUACACGGACAUGAUGAUGACCCAUCAGAGAUCACCCCGCAGCCUCUUCCUGUCCCACCAGCCCGCCCCUGCCCUAUAAAAGCAGCGACCACUUUAUUAAUAAAUGAGGCUUGAUCAGA